GAUGAAGAACGUAGCGAAAUGCGAUAAGUAAUGUGAAUUGCAGAGUUCAGUGAAUCAUCGAAUCUUUGAACGCACAUUGCGCCCGUCAGUAUUCUGACGGGCAUGCCUGUCCGAGCGUCAUUUCAACCCUCAAGCACCGCUUGGCGUUGGCGGAUUGCGUGCCCUCGCGGCGCUGCAACCGCCCAAAUACAGUGGCGGUCCCGCUGCGGCUCCCUUUGCGUAGUAACUCACCUCGCACUGGACCGGGCGGCGGCCUGCCGUAAAACCCCAACUCACGAAAUGUUGACCUCGGAUCAGGUAGGAAUACCCGCUGAACUUAAGCAUAUCAAUAAGCGGAGGA
rnacentral:misc_RNA from 1 species